rnacentral:rRNA from 1 species
UGCCAGCACCAUACCACCCUGCAUCCCACUGCUGGCUUGCUUCUGAAGCUAAGCAGGGUUGGUCCUGGUCAGUCCCUGGAUGGGAGACCAGAUGCCAGUAGGAGGCAC